UGGAGGAUGUAUAGCGAAAGCUAGUUGUAUUAAAUAAAAUUUAUUUAAUGCAGCAUCGACUAUGUCGAAUAAAGUUCUAGGUAGAGUUAUGAUAAUGACAUUUUCUAUCUAUGUGUCUUGACCAAAUCACGUGCCAGCAGUCGCGGUAAUACGUGGAAGACUAGUGUUAUUCAUCUUUAAUAGGUUUAAAGGGUACUUAGACGGUGAAUUAAGCCCAAUAAAGGGUACUUAUUAUACUAGAGUUUUAUGCGAGGGGGGGAGUACUAGUGGAGUAGAGAUGAAAUUCUGUCAUACCAUUAUGAACAGGCAACGGCGAAAGCAACCCUUUAUGUAAAAACUGACGUUGAAGGACGAAGGCUCAGUACACCAACAGGAUUAGAUACCCUAGCAGUCUGAGCAGACAAUGAUGAAUGCCAUAGAUAAGAAAUAGUUUUAUCUAUAAAUGAAAGUGUAAGCAUUCCACCUCAAGAGUAAUGUGGCAACGCAGAAACUGAAAUCAUUAGACCGUUUCUGAAACCAGUAGUGAAGUAUGUUGUUUAAUUUGACAGCCCGCACAAAACCUUACCACAAUUUGUAUAUUUUUAUUUAAAUACAAGAGUUGCACGGCUGUCUUCAGUUAAUGUCGUGAGAUUUUGGUUAGUUCCAUUAAAUUAACGUAAACCCUUACUUUAUUUCUUUUAUAAAGUAGUUCACCACUAGAUUGGAUAUGAUAAAAGGGAACUAAGACAAGUCAUCAUGGCCUGAAUAUU
rnacentral:rRNA from 1 species